rnacentral:rRNA from 1 species
GGACUCGGAGGGAUCAUUACCGGGAAAGCGCCGCAAGGCCGAACCCAACCCAACCCUUUGUGAACCUUACCCAAGGAAAAACAUGUUGCUUCGGCAGGCGGCCCCGCUGGGGGGGGCCAGCCGCCCGGCGCGCGAUACAGCCGGGCGCCUGCCAGGGGCCCAACAGAAUUGCAUCUCCCAGAGACAGACAUCUCGAGAAAACUUUUAUUGAAAAACCGAUACAACCUUCAACAGGGGAUCUCUUGGUUCCGGCAUCGAUGAAGAACGCAGCGAAAUGCGAUACGUAAUGUGAAUUGCAGAGUACAGUGAACCAUCGAAUCUUUGAACGCACAUUGCGCCCGCCGGCAUUCCGGCGGGCAUGCCUGUCCGAGCGUCGCCUCCACCCUCGAGCCCCCGUCGGCUCGGCGUUGGGGCGCUACGCGAAACCCGCGUACGCCCCCAAAAGCAGUGGCGGGCCCGCCGGCACUCCCGGGCGCAGUAGGAAAGCCGCAAGGCGCCCCCUCGCCCCCGGAGCCGCCGCGGGAACCCCCGGCCAUCAAAAGCCCCAACUUCUCUUACAAGUUGACCUCGGAUCAGGUAGGAAGACCCGCUGAACUUAAGCAUAUCUAAGCGGGGGGAGAGAACCC